rnacentral:tRNA from 1 species
GGGCGGCUAGCUCAAUUGGUAGAGCAGCAGACUCUUAAUCUGCGGGUUCCGAGUUCGAUUCUCGGGCCGCUCA